rnacentral:rRNA from 1 species
UACGAAGGGUGCAAGCGUUACUCGGAAUUACUGGGCGUAAAGCGUGCGUAGGUGGUGAGUUAAGUCUGUCGUGAAAGCCCCGGGCUCAACCUGGGAAUGGCGAUGGAUACUGGCUCGCUAGAGUGCGGUAGAGGAGAGUGGAAUUCCCGGUGUAGCAGUGAAAUGCGUAGAGAUCGGGAGGAACAUCAGUUGCGAAGGCGGCUCUCUGGACCAGCACUGACACUGAAGCACGAAAGCGUGGGAGCA